UAUAAAUGGCCUAACUCAGAAAUAGAAGGGUGCAGCUGACCAGCCCUUUACACUCUUCCGUUCGGAAGACAUUUCUACAGCUGGGACCUCAAGUCAAUAAAGUCUGAAGGCGUUUACUUGAAAAGUGGAAAAAUGGAAGCCUUAUCUUCACCAGUGGAGACCCAAGAAAAACAGAUAAAUAUGGCUGAGGAUAUUAUUGAGAUGGGGGACCCUGCGCGUGUGCCUGCUGAGACAGCGGUGACCUCGACUGAUGAUGAGGAGGACAUGGGCUGCUGUGAUACGGACUUUGAUCACGUCUGCACAAUGAUAGGCGUCGCGGCCACUGCGUUGAACCUCCUACUGAUGAUGGCGGUGUACAUAUAUUUUGUAAACACGGAUGACACCGACACGAAAAGAACCGGGCGGAUCUUCAGUGGAUGGAAGCCUUAGACCAUACACCGAGUCAUAGUAGUUUAAUCCUUCAGCAUUGGUCUUUGUUCAUAGCAACAUAGCAAACAGUUAAUAACAACCUAGCAAAAUAACACCCAACUGCAUAUAUAUGCAGUACUAUAUGCAGUGCCAUACGUAAUACUAAUAUGACAAAAUAGCAUUGUGUUAUAUUAUAAUCAAAACAUCAGCAUCAAUCUGGUAUGGAUUUAAAAAAUCUGGCAAUAUCAGUGCAUUGCAACAUUUAUUUAUAUUCCUGCCUUUGACUUUUAGAUCAGUUUAUCAUGAAUAAAUUCAUGACAUAAGGUUAAUGUAUAACUUUUUAGAAGAUAUCUGGUUAAUAAUUGAAAUAAUGGAAAGAUUAUUCUGCUUUUCACCAUUUAUUCCUUUAGCAAAUAUAUAUAUAUAGUGUACACAAAUAAGGAGCUUGUCUCGUAUGCCGAGAUCUAAAUACAUGUUGUUAUUAUAAAUGAAUACUGAAUAAUAUAAAACGGCCAAACAUAGUAAAUUUGCUUGGAUCUCCCCUCAUGGUCCUUGGGCUAUGCUGGCCGCAGGUGGGCCCAUGUGGAUGUCUGGCAGCAGGUGGCAGCUGGUGAUACUAUCAAUCUUCUCAGAAACAGCCUUCAGGUCGUCCAGGAUGAGUCUGAUGCUGUGGGAGGCGUUGAUGAUAGCCGCCUGGGAUGUGUUGAGCUGAACGGUGGCACUGCGUACCUACCACAACGAUACGUGGGAUCAGGUCAAUACAAAGGAACUGACAAUUAAAACCCCAUUAAAAAUAUAUCAUGGGGAUAGGGGAUGGGGGGGUGUAGGUGGUAUAUGGUAAAAUCAGGGUAUCUGCAGGUUUCAGCAAGUCAAAUUUAAGACUUUUUAAGACCUUUUUAAUACCACCUUGAAUGAAAUUUAAGACCUAAAACACGCGAUGGUGGGGGUUGGCAACAGACGCGAGCCAACUUCGGAAAUGGACGUCUUCCAGCCAACUGUCCUUGAAUUCGCACCUACCCAUUGUCGCAGACUAGCUAGCAAGCACGCAGAUAAUCAUUUAUAUAUGCAGCUAGCAAGAAAGAAGCCUGAAAUGUCACACGAGAAAAAAUAAUAAAUAAAUAGUCCCGCCCCAACAAAUUUAAGUCCUUGAGUUACAGUAUUUAAGACCACCAUAUGACAUUUCUAACGAAUUUAAGACUUUUUAAGACCUUAAAUUUAGAAACUUUUUAAGACUUUUAAGGAUGCGUGGACACCCUGGGUAAAAUAGUAGACACAAAAUAUUAGUUCAAACUGUAAAGGUAGAUACUCCUGCAAGUUAAGAGUUGAAGGUGAUAUUCUUUACCUUGUUGACUGUGUCCUUUAAGACAGUUGUGUAAUGAACCCAUGUAGUCAAUGUAAAUACAUACAUUUCACAAACUUACCAAUAAAUGCACUUUUUGUUCUUUU